UUGCUGAGGGUCGUGGUAAUAACUAAGGUAGAAUCUGCUACCAAAACACUUACCACAAAGUGUAUGGUAAAGAAUUUGGCCUUGACCAGAAAAGACUAACCACGGCCUUCAGCUCGUGGGAGAAAGAAAUGCAGCUUGAAACCCAAGUGGGGAAGGGCAUCGGAGGGUUGCAUGGUAUUCUAGAAACAGAAGACCUCUGCAUUCAGAUUCCCACCCCUGCACCUUUCUGGCUUGAUUUUGGCUUCAAAAGACAUAAAUAAGUCACUGGCUCAUGGGGGACAGAAAGUAAGACAAGGUCUGCCGAAACCAAGCAGGAUGGCAGUUGGGAAGCAAGAUGCCACAUUAACCCCUGGAGCCUGGACCACAGCCACUUAAAGAGAAUAUAUACCCACCAGGACAGAACCUAUGACACUCAUGUGAG